rnacentral:tRNA from 1 species
GGGGUUGUGGCUCAGUGGCAAAGCACUCACCUUGCACGUGUGAGGCCCUGGGUUCGAUCCUCAGCACCA